GUUCUCCGGUGAGAGGUGGCGCCGAAGCCGGUGGUGACACCAUAACUAUCAGUUCCUUUAUUCAUGCUCUCCAUAACCCAAUCACUACUCGCCUUAACUCCAGCCCUCGCGGCUUCCGACAGCUCCACCUUCACGGUGUCACUGUCAUUAGCAGCUGCGAUCCCCGCCACCUGAGAAACUGUAAGCGUCUCUCCUCCGAGCUUCACCACCGGCUUUCUGAACUCCGCAACCAUCUUCUUCACCUCAUCAAGGUGACUUCCGGUCAACGCCUCCGCUGCAACUCCCCAGUUCAAUGGAUCCUUGAUGCACAACUCAUUAACGACUCCAUUAACGUGAUUACCGUUCUCCAUUAUUAUU
rnacentral:lncRNA from 1 species